AGGUCAGUAGCUCAGUGGUAGAGCGGUCGGCUGUUAACCGAUUGGUCGUAGGUUCGAAUCCUACCUACUUG
rnacentral:tRNA from 2 species